rnacentral:rRNA from 1 species
AUUGAACGCUGGCGGCAUGCCUUACACAUGCAAGUCGAACGGCAGCACGGGAGCAAUCCUGGUGGCGAGUGGCGAACGGGUGAGUAAUAUAUCGGAACGUGCCCAGUCGUGGGGAUAACGUAGCGAAAGCUACGCUAAUACGCAUACGAUCUAUGGAUGAAAGCGGGGGAUCGCAAGACCUCGCGCGAUUGGAGCGGCCGAUAUCAGAUUAGGUAGUUGGUGAGGUAAAGGCUCACCAAGCGACGAUCUGUAGCUGGUCUGAGAGGACGACCAGCCACACUGGGACUGAGACACGGCCCAGACNCUACGGAGGCAGCAGUGGGGAUUUUGGACAAUGGGCGCAAGCCUGAU